rnacentral:tmRNA from 1 species
GGGGGCGUUUUAGGAUUCGCCGUGGUAAGAUAAGCCAUAUAAGCACGUAGCAGUAGUCUGCUUUAAAAACGUCGAGGUUAAAUAACCGCAAACAAAACUCAUUUAUUUGCACGCUCUAACACUAUGAGCGCUGCAUACGCUUGCUAAUCUAAUUCAAGCGGCUUUUCUAAUAUGUUUCCUAUAGCACAUUAGUAAAAGCGUCAACUAUAUAGGAUAUAUAGAUGUAGUGCUACUCUAACUAGAUUUAUGAAUAUGAAUAGAGUGUAGCUAGGUUUUGGCUUGUUUAUUUGCUUAGACCUAGUGAAGGUUUCAAAUAAACUAAACGUGUAGAAAGUAUGGUAGACAUUGCUGCGUACGGGAGUUCGAGUCUCCCCGCCUCCACCA